rnacentral:rRNA from 1 species
GAUGAACGCUGGCGGCGUGCCUAAUACAUGCAAGUCGAGCGAACAGACGAGGAGCUUGCUCCUCUGACGUUAGCGGCGGACGGGUGAGUAACACGUGGAUAACCUACCUAUAAGACUGGGAUAACUUCGGGAAACCGGAGCUAAUACCGGAUAAUAUAUUGAACCGCAUGGUUCAAUAGUGAAAGACGGUUUUGCUGUCACUUAUAGAUGGAUCCGCGCCGCAUUAGCUAGUUGGUAAGGUAACGGCUUACCAAGGCAACGAUGCGUAGCCGACCUGAGAGGGGGAUGGGCCACACGGGACAUGGGCACCGGCCCAGACCCUACCGGGGGGCACAGGGAGGGAAUUUCCCGGAAGGGGGGAAAGCCUGACGGAGAAACGCCGGGUGGGUGAUGAAGGUUUUCGGAUCGUAAAACUCUUUUUUUAGGGAAAAAAAAAUGUGAAAGAAAAGUUGCCCGUUUUGACGGAACCUAAUCAAAAAGCCCCGGCUAAAUCCUG